GAGCGCAGCACGUGUCGACAUCAAGAACCAAUCAUAACAUGACACAUGUCAAUGUGACAAAGCUACAAGUUUUUCUAUAAAUAGGGGCCAUUCCCCCACAAUAUUGGCUAAUGCCAUUUGUGUUAAAUCAUUCACAAGAACUCACUAAAUUGAGAGCUUGAUCCUUUGUACUUGUGUAAGCCCUUCACUACUAAUAAGAACUCCUCUACUCCGUGGACGUAGCCAAUCUGGGUGAACCACGUACAUCCUGUGUUUGCUUCUCUGUCUCUAUUCAUUUACGUACUUAUCCUCACUAGUGACCGAAGCAACCAAGCGAAGGUCACAAAACCUGACACUUUCUGUUGUACCAAAGUCUUCGCUGAUUUUGUGCAUCAACAGGAUUUUUUCUCAAACAAAAAAUCUUGAUGCAAUUAGAAAUGGGAACAAUUUGAUAUAAGUUGUAAUUUGUUUUGUGAGAUGAUUGAUGUAAAAUUUUUUACUUUAUUCAACACCAAACACUUAUCUUUAUUUCUCACAAUCUUAUUAAAUAAGUCAAAUAAAAAACAACAAUCAAAAGAAAAUAACGUUUAAACAAGAAUGUGUAAGAAUAGAAAAAAAGAUGUUUGGUUAUGAUUUUCCUUUCAAAAGUGAACAGUCCACCCACCAAGUUUAAUUAUUUCCCACUAUUCGUUGCUCACUCACGUUCACUUGAAUUAUGUGUAAGAAUAGAAAAAAGAUGUUUGGUUAUGAUUUUCCUUUCAAGACUGAAAGCAGUCCACCCACCAAGUUUAAUUAUUUUUCACCACCCACCAAGUUUAAUUAUUUUUCAUGGAGUAGGAUUUUCUCCCUUUAUUUUUUAAUCCUCUUUCAUUCCUUUCUCUUACCUUCUUCAUUUUAUCUUUAUAUUUUUAUAAAAAAAUUAAUAUAAGAUAUUAACAUGAUUUAAGUUUGAAUUAAUCCUACUCCAUUUACCACUAUCCGCCGCUCACUCACUUUCACUUGAAUUAUUUUGUUUAUGUGGUGUAGAAAGAAUGAAAAGAGAAAAAUACCCCCAAAAGAACCAAACUUUCAGAACUGUCUGUAUCCCAAAUGAGUCUUUGGUAUUGCUCUGCCAUUGCCAUUGGCAUUCCCUUCCACCAUUGACAUUGACGACAAACCCUUCAACUCCUCCAUACUCGCGUAGCUCUUCCUCGCCGUGAUCCCUCCGCUAUUGUUGUACCUCUCCUCCCCCGCGCUCACCGACUUACUCCCUAUCGAAUUCGACAAUAUCCCGUACGCUGCUUUCGCCAGACUCUUUGUCGGCAUGGUCAUCUCCUGCAUCAACGGAAACCUUGACGGCGGCUUGCGGUUCUCUUUUCGUAACACGGCUGAGAAAUUGGGCACCGAUUGAGCGAGAACGGAAUACCCUUUUCGCGAAUUGGUCAGAUGGGUCUUAAAUUUGACUUGUUUCUUCAAUGGGGUCAAUUUCGAUUCGGAUUCUUCGAGCUCCUCUAGGAUCAUGUACUUCCUCCUUAGCCGCGAUUCUCUGAGUUCCGCGUAGGCUUUGUAUCUAGGUCCUUUCUCCAUGGCGGCUCUCGGUGGUGAACCUCAAUGAACUGGAUGUUGAUAUGGGCUAGGGUUCUGGGAGGGACGUAGAACCCAGAUGGGUUGUAGGGAGUGGGUCCCAUAUUUAAUUUUUUAAUAUUUAAGGAGGUGUAUUCAAUUGGGAUUUUUAGAGAUUUUAAUUCUUUUAAUAAAUCUAGAGGUGUUCAAUCAAGAUUUUAAGUGAUUCUCUGAAAUUCAAGGUGUAUUCAAUUAGAAUUUUAAGAUAGUUUAUUAAAAUCCUUAGAAAUCCGGGUGCAUUCAAUUAGGGUUUUAAAGAAAUUUAUAACAUUCCAGUUGUAUUCAAUUAAAAAUUGAUUUUAAAGAAUUUGGGAAAGUUGGGGAAUUAGAAGGAAUUGAAGAGAUUUUGUAGUGUAUUUUAAGCAUCUACAAAUCUCACAUUUUUCCCUUAAGAUUUCGAGGAAAUUGAAUCAAAAUUUUAUAUGAAAUCUCCACAAAUCAAUUAAACUCCAUAAAAAUCCAUAAAUUUAUAAAUCCAUUAAAAUCUCUCAUAUUCUCAAUUGAAUACACCCCCUUAAUUAAUUUUUGAGUAAAGUACAAAAAACUACCUCAACUAUUGGUGUCAUGACACUUUCAUACCUCAACUUUUAAAAUUGACAAUGGCAUACCUCAUCUUACGAAUUUGUGCCAAUGUUAUACCUUUCGUUACCUUGGCGUGAAUUUCUCAGUUAACUGCUGACGUGGCUUGAUCCUUGACCCAUUUUCUAUUAAAAAAUUAUUAAAAACAAAAAAAAAUUAUUUAAUAUUUUUUAAAAUAUUAAAAUAAUAAAAAAGUUAUAAAUAAAUAAAAAUAAAAAAACAACUUUCAGUCCCCUUUCCGAUGUCCCUCCCCCCCCCCCCAACUUCUCUCUCUUCUCCCCAUCUUCAUCUUCUUCACCAUUCCUGCAAACCAAAAAAAAAAAAAAGAGAAAAAAAAAACUAAUUUGUCUUCCCCCCUCCCUACCCCCUUUUCUCCCCACACCCACUCUCCGCACCCAACCUCCCCACCUGGGGGAUGGACGAACUGGGUUUAUUUUAUUUUAUUUUUAUUUAUUUUUUCUUUUCUCCUUCUUCCUCUUCUCAUUCUCUUCUUCUUCUUCGGGUUGGGUUUGUGGUGAGCAGGGGUGAACUGGGUUGGGUUGAUUUUUUUUUUUUCCUUCUUCUUCUUCUUCGUCCUUCUUCUUCGUCCGUCUUCUUUCUGGGUUGCAGGGACGAAUAGUUUUUUUAUUUUUUUUUAUCCUUCUUCUUCUUUCUGGGUUGCAGGAAGAUGGGAGGGGGAGGGACGAACAUAGGGUUUUUUUUUCCUCUUCUUCCUCCUCCUUCUUUCUGGAUUGCAGGAAGAUGGGGAGAGGAGGGACCAACAAAGGUUUUUUUCUUUUUCUUUUUCUUCUUCUUCUUCCUCAUUCUUCUUCUUUUUGGGUUGCAGGAAGAUGUGGAGGGGGAGGGACGAGAGGUUUUUUUUAAAAUUUUUUUUAUAUAUACUUAUCUUUAUUAUUUUAAUAUUUAAAUAAUAUUAAAUAAUUUUUUUUUAGUUUUUAAUCGUUUUUAAUCAUUUUUAAUGAUUUUUUAAUAGAAAGUGGGUUCUGAAUUAAGCCACAUCAGCAUUUAACUGAAAAGUUAACGGCCAAGUAACGGAAGGUAUAACAUUGGACCAAAUUCUAAAAAUGAGGUAUGACAUUGUCAAUUUUAAAAGAUAAGGUAUGAAAGUGUCAUGACACCAAUAAUUAAGAUAGUUUUUUGUACUUUACCCUUAAUUUUUUUAAUCUAGUUGGGAUAAAGAGUGGGCCCUCUUUAAAGAAAUUGAUAGAAAAAUUAACAGAAGUCUAACAUUGUAACAAAUUCAUAAAAUAAGAUACAAUAUUGUAAAUUUUAAAAUAUAAGAUAUAAGAUUGUGGUUCGAUCUAUAAUUAAAGUAAUUUUAUGUAAUUUAUCCUAAAAAAUCCAAGAAAACCCAACCGGCAAGAAACAUAAAGCGACGGAAGAAUACGACCGAGUCAUCGCCACAGCCCACAGGAGCUAAUAAUCAAGAGGAAAUAGACAAAAAGAGAGGGGCAAUGGUUGGACAGGGGAGCCAUACCUGGACUUUUCUAUUGACUGGGGCAUGGAUUCACAUGUUACACAUUUUAAGAGGGAUUAGAAGGACUCAGAUCAUCUCCAAACGAAAUAUCAAAUUUUAAAUAUAAAAUUUAAAUUUGACGGUUUAUGUGUCAUUUUGAUAUUUUUCAAAAUUUUGCUCUUCAUCCGAUAUGUCAAAUUAAAUAUUAUUUUAUUACACUUUUUUUUAGCUUUUUUUUUAUUAAACUAUUAUUUUAUUACCCAUUUCGACAUCUUUCAAAACCCGAAUUUCUUCAUUUCACACCUUCAGCCAUGGAAGCUCUGCAAGCUUCCCUCCCGCAAGUCCCUCACACCCAGUUCGAACUACCUUCAGCCAUGGAAGCUCUGCAAGCUUCCCUCCUGCAAGCUUUCUGCUUUUCUUCUCUCUGUUCUCUCUCUGGUUUUCCAAAAUUCAAGCUUCGGUCUUUCUGGCUUCUUCGUUUGCUUUCAGUUUCAGCGUUUCCAAUAAAAAAAUUAAUAAAAAAAAUAUUUGAAGCUGCUAUCAAAUUUGACAGCAACCUCUUUGUUGCCAAUCCAUGUCAGCGCCACAUAGAAAUUGACAUUUCUGUUGGAGAAUACUAGUGUAGCCAUUUAUUACUGUUAUAACUUAUGUGGACAUUUUGACAUCUCCUUUAGAGAUACUCUCAUGUUGACAGAAAUUGAUGUCGGACUGUCGUUUAAGAGUUAAAGGAAUAUUACUAGACCUAAUUGGCGUUAAAAUUCUUAUUAAAAGCCGAAGUUUUCCUUAAAAUGUACUUGAAAGUGCUUUAUUAAGAAGCUUCUCCAAAAAGCACUUAUAUGAAUAAAAAACUUUUCUAACUUUUUCUACUGGGCUGGUUUGGUAUUGUUGUGUUUUGAAAAAAAAACUGCUUCUGCUGUUUUGUGAGAAUAAGCAGCUGUGAAAUAAAGCUGUAGAGUGUUUGAUAAACUUUUUUGUAAAAAUGCUUUUGAAAAAAAAAAAACAGUAUUGUAGUGUUUGGUAAACUUUUAUGUAAAACAGUUGUGAUUGUGUAAAAUGAUUAAAACUGGUAUAAUACUAGAUGUGCCAUUAAUUUAAUUUUCUUAACAAAUAAAGGUGAAUUACUAAAUAUGCUUUAUUUUUAAAAGAAAAAUAUUUAUAAACUUUAUCUUAAACAUAUAAUCCAACGUUUAACAAGAAAUCAUAAUCCAAUGUUCAACAUAUAAUCCAACAUUUAUGCUGUUUCACGUUUUCAACUUUUUUUUUUCACCCAAAACUAUGAAAAUAAGCUAUUUUUAAGUGUUUAUCAAACACCUUUUUAAGUUCAGUUUUUUUUAUACCCACUUUUUAUAAAAACACCUCAGUACCAAACCAGUACGUAGUUAGAAGUGUUUUGGCUUUUAGAAGAGUACCUGCUUAGAGCAACUCCAGCGUGCUCUUUAGCCCGAUUGACCGGUGAUUCCAAUCACCCAAUUGCCCCAGCAACUAGCUCCAGCGCAUGCGGGCAAUGAAGCUCAGGGGAGGCCCGGUGGACAGGCCAAGCAGGAAUCCAUCGCCCGAGAGCCUGAUGGCUGUGUGAUGUGUGGCUAACCUCAAGGUGACCCGGCUCGAAUUGGUCUAUUUUCCUUUGUUGGAAUCUGGAAAAAGAAUGGGAUGCAUCCAGGGAAUUAAGCCAUCGAAUUAAACCACAAGAAUUGCAGCACAACAUGAUUUAAAGCUCAAGAACACAAGAUAGUGAUAGAAACAUCACCUGGGUUCGAGAUUGAGAGCUCAAGCUCUCGGCUUCAAUGGUAGGACCUCGCACCAUGCACCGAUGCCGCAUGCAAGGCCAUGGUUGGGUUCCUUGCGUUCCAGGGAUUCUAAAAAUAUUGUUUUUGAGCUUGAUUUGUUAAAGGUUUGAAGAGGAAGGAGGAAGAGAGCUCACGAUAGUGAGCUAGAAAAGAGGGAGAGAGAAAGAAAAAGGAAGAGAGAGAAAGAAAAGAGAGAGAGAGAGGGAGAGAGAGGAAGAACCGGUCAAAUGAGGGGAAAAUGAGAAAGGGUGAUGGGGUGUAUGGAUUGGGUGUGGAAAAAAUAUUAAUAUUUUAUUGCCUAUUGUCAUAGCUGUUCAAUUUAGGGGUGGAUAUGCAAAAUACGGUUAAUGUUCAUUAAAGGUAGUUAUUGUUCACCGGGUGGAUUCAAUAGUGAGUUGUCCUAGGGGACCUUUGCAACGCUGGAGUUGCUCUUAAGGAAUAGCAUUAUGAAAACUCAAGGCCUCGGAUUUAUCAUUUGGCUAGCUAGCAGAACAGGAUCAAAAGGACCCAAAGAAGACCAACGGAGGCACAGGAAAGGGCACUUGAGAAUCAUGCCCAACCUACGCACUCCUGACCCAACCAUAUACAUGAUGUCAAAGGAACACACUGUAUCGAGUCACUUGAAUAUUUUAAAAACCAGGUAGAAGACAGUACCUGGAAGAGGAACUUUGAGGCUCAAAUCCACACACACACACAACUCUCAUUUCAUGAGCUACAGAAAAAAAGUCCCGUCGUUUCAGCUGCUAAGUCCAUACCCAAAUAUGUGCUCAUUUGCAAGAUCACCGUUCUCAGCACAUCAAGCUCAACAUGUUUGGGAAUGUGAGGUCAUGAUCGAUCGAAACUCGCUUCCCGUAACUUAACUGGAUCAUUUGCCAAUUCCCUGAAUCAAAGACAUAACUAAACUCAUCAAUCUGCAAAUAAAAUUUAUCUACAUGAGAACUUCGAUUAUCGAUUAAGUACAACAAAGGAACGUGUGCCUAUACCUCCGAAAAACCAGAAAUGUUCUCUUGCAUUCAAGAAUCCUAGCAGAUACCAAAUAUAAAUUUGAGAAACAACAAUAAAAAUGUUAACUACUGACUAAAGCUAUAGCUAGUAUAGGUUCUUGUUCAUCUUAGUGUAUAUUAGGUAAAUAUUUGACUAUAAAAACAUGUAUUUACCACAACAAAAAUAGACAGCUUUGUAUAUUUGAAUUCACCAUUUGUCAACCCGUCAUUUCACGAUAAGGGUUUCUAAUCACCCAUCCUUUUGCAACAUUUGUUUAUGAAGGGGCUUGCCUUAUAAUUUCAUAGAAAUCCAAUAUGUACGAAAAAAAAAAUAUGUACAUUGAACAAAGACGGAUUAAUGUAAAGGAUGAUUUACAACUCAUUGUGAAAAAUAGUAGUUCUAAUCUAUACAUUAACUAAGCAUCCUUAUCAGUAACAAAAAUGACUUAGAAGUUUGAAAUUGGACAUAGCUUGAAAGACAAAAUGCUUAACUAGCCUUAAAAAGCUCUAACCCAUGAUGACAUCUCCGAGCGAGACAAAGCUUGGAAUAUGGACACAUGCAUGAUUGAGGUCAAUGGAAGCUUGAAUGGCAUUCCAUCAACCUUGACACAUAGAGAGCCAAAUUUUCAAGGAAUAUAAUUCUGUCAGUUAAAAUCACAUAAGAAGAAGAUUUUUCCUUCCACUGUAAAUUUCACCACUCGAUGAAUAUGAUAAUCAAACAGUCGAUAAUUUCAAGCUCUUUGGUCCAAGACUCCUUAACACCAUAUUCCUUCAUCACCCUAACAUCUACAAUUUAUAAUGUGUAGGAACAAUUAGAGAGAGAACCUCUCAAGACUCCAAUUCCCAGAGCCAAUAGUCAAAACCAUUACCUCCGCUCACCAAAUUCUCCAUCAAAUGCUUUGUUUGGAUUGCUAAACCGAACAACUUUAAAGACACCACUGAUGGGACUAAACCCAACCCACAAACAGAAGGACCAAUUUCUUCAUUUUAAGUAGGUGUUGGAACUUGGAAGAGUUGAAUAUCAGAGUGCGCAACGAACAAGACUAACAAGAAUAAAAAUAUUAUUAAACAAACGAGAAUGCCAAAACGGCUACAAAACCCUAAGAUGCUACAUUGUGACUAACUUGAUUAUUCUAUAGAGUUACAAAGUACCAUAUAUAUAGAAAACUAAUCUAACCCUAAUAGGCAAGGAAACGAAACCCUAAUACUAACGGGCUAAGCCCAAAAUACCAAACAUUAAAAUAAAUCUAAAUAAUAAUAUUUUCCAACACCCCCGUCAAACUCAUGGCGGUACACGACAUGGGUUUGCCAAAGUAGAUGUGGAUGCAAGACUCCAAAUUCCAAUGCCAAUGCCAAUGCCGAUGCCGAUGCCAAUACCGAUGCCGAUGCCAAUACCAAUGCCAAUCCGAAUACCAAUAUCAAUACCAAUAUCCAUGCCAAUACCAAUACCAAUACCAAUACCAAUAUCAAUACUUCUUUCUUGCCCGUGUGGGCACAAAGUCAAAACCUCAAAAAACAAAGCAUUUUCUUCUAUUUCCCUUUUGUCUUUUUCCUCCUCCUUUUCCUGUUUCGUUUUUCCUUUUUUUUUUUUUUUUUUUUUUUUUUUACAGUCUUCUCCGCAAAGAACCUGCAAAACACAAGAGUGCAACGAUGCAGAGUGCAGGAACAUGAAGGGUGCAGAUGCUCCAGAUGCAGUUUAGACUACCAACAACUAAUAUUGAAAUCCAAAAACAAACAAACUGAUACGAGCAAACAGAAGCAGAUUAAAUCCCGAAGGAUCAAACCUGCUCUAAUACCAAGUUGAAUAUCAGAGUGCGCAACGAACAAGACUAACAAGAAUAAGAAUAUUAUUAAACAAACGAGAAUGCCGAAACGGCUACAAAACCCUAAGAUGCUACAUUGUGACUAACUUGAUUAUUCUAUAGAGUUACAAAGUAUCAUAUAUAUAGAAAACUAACCUAACCCUAAUAGGCAAGGAAACGAAACCCUAAUACUAACGGGCUAAGCCCAAAAUACCAAACAUUAAAAUAAAUCUAAAUAAUAAUAUUUUCCAACAGGAAGUGCCAAAGAUUCACCAGUAAAUGGGAUUAGAUAAACAAAAAAUGGCCGAAGUUAGGUCUACCAUCGUAUAGGCACAAGAAGCCAUUGCAAGAACCCACAAUUUCGACUGCGAACCCGUACUCAAUACUGGAGUCUCUAGAAAGCCUCACGACAUCGCUGUGUUGGGUUAGAGUGCUCGUCGAGGCCAACCACGAAGUGACCUAUCGACUUGGCACAAGGGGCGUUGAAGCAAUGGAGCAAAAUGCAAGCCGGUGCUUGUGAAAAUAGGGACAUGGUGAAGUGGCGGUCUGAGAGCCAGUGGACACUCGUCUGCAUUGGGUGAGCGUCUUGGUUGAGAUCUCUAUUAUUGUGUGGCUGGAAAUUGCGGAAUGUACAAUGUGGGGUUUCUUCUCAUGUUUCUUUAUCUUCUUCUUUUGAAGGUUUGUUAGGGAAAUUUGCAAAAUUAACCAAAUUUUAGACCCUAUAUAUUGAAUUAUUGCCACCGUUUUAAGUUAAGGAUCAUUAUAACCAAAAUUUUACAUGAAAUUACUAACAUACGCUUAAAAUGAGUUUUCCCAUAUAACCAAAAUGAAAAAAAUUUAAAAUUCAAGCUCAAGAAAUGUUCAUUCAGAUUGAAUAUGCCAUGUUGGUCGAAUCUAGCCAGAAAACUGUCGUUCUCCGGUCACAUAGCAGGGAAUUCGAAACCCAUAUAGUCAAUCCUUGCCAAAGUUGUUUAUUUGAGAAAAAAAAGAAGAGGAAUUUAGCUCCAAAAGCAAAGCAAAUCAACGAGCUUUAUAGGAUCACACAAGCAAUCAUGGAUAGCAUCGUUGACACUAUCAACUCCGCAACCAUCGUCAUCUCAACCGAAGCUAGUGCCCAGCCCACCACCGUCUUUGUAACUCUCUCUCUCUCUCUCUCUCUCUCUAGUGCAUACAAAUCUUUAUGCAUGUGUGCUUUUUUUUUUCUCUUCUCAUUUGCACCAGAAAAGUAGAAUUGCUGCAUUUGUAGAAGCUUGAGAAAGGCUUAUCAUCCCUUGACGCAGUGCAUUAGGGACUGAAAUGUGAACAAACAAGUAAAAGCAGGAAAACUAUCAAAUAAAAAAUCCACAUAACACAAAUUGAGAGAAGAGAUAUCAACUAAUAUGACUUUAGGGUCCUUGUUAUACUCUGUUUGGUUGCUGAGAAACUCUGGGAAUCUAAAACACACAUAUAUGGACAGUUGGAUUUUGCGUUCUUACUCGUAUUUUCAAUCCUAAGAAUGAAAACUAUCAACGUUUGAGUGUUUUUGUAGGAUUUUUUUUUUGGUUGUGAUAAGAAAACUCAUUUUAAGAGUAUACAAAUACUUUCAUAUCAACUUUUAAUUAUAAUUAUCAUAAACUUAAAAGGGUGACUAUAAUUCUAUAUAGAGUCUCAACUGUUGCUUAUGGUUUCAAUUGUUGUCGUGUAGAUAGGGGGGAGAGUUCAAUUUCCUAUUUUUUGAAUUUUCACAGAUACCGUUUUCAUUAACUCACGAGUCUUUUUUAACCCAGUUUCACACUAAACCCUUUCUGAUGAAUUCAUUUUCAACCGUUCAAAUUUAAUCCUAUGGUCUACAUCCCAUCUGCACACACUGUCCGCAAAGCUCCGUUUGCACCUUAGAAAUCGCCCUCUUUAUAAACUGGCCUGGCCUACACGGCACAACCCAAUUCCAGGCCAAAAUUGCAUAAACCCAACUCCUUUUAAUUGUUUUCAGAAGAGUGGUAGUUUUGUAAUUAAAUGGAAAUAAAUGGAAACGUAGCCAAUUUGACAGUGCUUAUGAACAAUGCCAAACUCCCCUCAAUUUUAAACUAUAGUAAUAAUUCCUAGUAUUGGUGAAUCAUAUGAUGGUGGUCAGGAGAAGACUGAAAGUCUUCUCGGCCCUUGGAAGAGAGGAUUGUCGUGGUGAAACCACCAGUUAGUCCAUUUUUUAAAUAAAAUAAAAUAAAAUUUUGGAAUCAAACUUCAUUCAUUUUCCAAGUAGUCCUAAACUACUGAAAAAUUGGCAAAUGUACCAUUUUCCGUUGAGAUGUAGAUUUUACCCCUUUUAGAUCUACUCCAACCCUUAGAGUAAAAUUCAAAUUUUAGGUUCUAAACCUACCCCAAUUUGCUCCAACCCAUAGGGUAAAUAUGAGUUGUAACCCAUAACUCAUUUCUGGGGCAAAUUUAGGCCAGGAUUCCCUUUGGGUUAGUAGGGUUGACCCACCAAAUAUAUGUAUUUUUUUUUAGUUUUAUUUAUAAAUUCAUUAAAUCUAACCGUUAAGAUCUAAUAUGAUCAAAUCUAAUUGUAAAAAAAAAAAAAAAGAUUUAACUCUCCAAAUUUAGACCCAACGGCUAAAAUAAUUAAAAACAAUUGUUUUUUCAUAUUCUUUCAUAGUGUCUGAUGAGUUUCAUGGUGUCAGUUUAGUAAUUUUUCAAUAUUUGUCGGAAUCUAAAUAUUUUUAGGUUAAAAUGUUCAUAAAAUUAAAUUAGGAUAGUCUACAAAUAUAUAUAUAUAUAUAUAUAUAUUUAAAGUUACUUUAAGAAUCCUAAAUUCAUUUUUUAAUAAUCUCGGACUAAAAAUUUAACCCAUAAGAGUUAGAGCAGAAAACAUAUUUCUAGGUUAAACCCUAAAUUUUUUGGGUUAAAAAUUUAAACACGUCGGUUCUUGCACUAAUGCUAGCUAGAAACAGCGCAUUAGCUACGUAGUCCUUGGACAACAUCUUAUUUCAUAGAAAUAUUUCAUAUUCAUGACAAUACCUAUGUGUUAAAAUUAAUAGGGUUUAUUUGUCCUAUUGUAUAAAGGGAAUUUUGUCCUUUCAAGUACCUAUAUUUUUAGGCUAAUAUGUAAAGAGGCUGUUGACUUAUUUGAUGCAUGGUUAAUUUAUUUGAUACAUUUAAAAAAUAAAAUAAUUUUUUAUUCAAAUGAUUUUUUGUCAAGAUAAUAUUUAAAGAAAGAUUAAGAAAUUGAACGGUUCUAAUUAUAAAUUUUCUAUGGUAAAAAUACGUAUUUGCAAGUAGUCAUGAAUAGCUCAUCCCCGAAGAGGGGAAUGCAAGAGUAUUAUUCUUUAUUUAUUUCAUUGAAAUUAUUACAAAUUCAUGACAAUACUAAGCGUCAAAAUUCAUAAAGUUUAUUUCUCCUUUAGUAUGAUAUAAAGGGAUAUUACAUAAUAUCCUUUCUAGUUCUAUUUUUAGGGUGAUGGACAGAAUGUAAUAACGUAGUUUGGUCCACCGCUGCAUGUAAAGGUGCUGUUGACAUCAUCAUAAGCGUAGCUAUAAGCCUGAGGGCACUGGUCCUCAAAGAUCUUAGAGUAGUCUGUGGGUGGACAUGUAGCUGGUGUGUCAUUAGGAGGAGUGCAGCAGUAUUGUGGUUGAUUAAAUUGUGUACACGCACUCUUGCAUGCAAUUACGCUCCCAUCGGACCCCUUCACUUGCAGCUCAGCUGGGCAAACAGCGUUGACGUUGGCGGGGCAAGAAGAGGUCUGGCAGUCGCCCGUGCCGCCUUGUGGGGCAACAGACACGGGCAAGUUGAAGCCAUCAACAAGACUUACGUCGUAGAAAUCUUGGCCUCCGUUUGCGACAAUAUUUAUUUCGACUAGGCUUGCUGGUGGAACUGCUCCGUUACCGUUGCAUGUGACUUGGCCAGAGCUACACUCUGCUGUGGCACAACUGAACUUUCCUGAGGCGUCAGUGGAGCAUCCGGUUCGGCCCCAGAAGCGGCCUUUCCAUGGGACUGGAGUGGUCAAGGAACUGCUAGCGCCGGAUGCUAACUCGAACCCUGUGGAGGAUAGUUGUGGUUGUUGAUCGGAGGUUAGGGACCCUGGCCAUACGGUAUAGGGGCAACUGUUGGUGAAGGUGAUCGUAGCUGCAUGUGCACCUACAUGCCAAUUGUAAACGAAUAAUCAUAUAACCAUUAUGUUAACAAAAAAAUAUCUCUAUAUCUCUAUAUAUGUGUCUAUGAUGAUGUUACCAACUAUGGAUCAAUUUGAACACAAAUUAAUAACGUUCAAACAAAACAAAAAUCAUCAGUUUAAAAUUUCAUGUCUAACAGUUUAACGAUCGAUAUAACAUUUUUCAUGAAUCAUGACACGUACCAGAUCACAUACAAAUAACCGUAAACAAAAAGAACAGAACAAGUCAAUUUGUUUACCUGCGAAGAAGAUGGCUAAGGUGAGACUGAGGAUUACUUGGUUGUUCAUCAUGAUUAAGCAAUCACUUCUUCAAUUUGCUGCCAAAUUAAUUUGGUGAUGAAAUGAUGAAGUUGGGAACCGAUGGGCCUUUGGUUUUAUAGGCAUAAGCGCAUACCUAACUUUAGACUUUUUUAUUUUUGCAUGUCUGCUACAUGAGGAUCCACGUUACCACUAAUAAGUGAUGAGACGACUUGUCUUAAUUAUGGCUUUAUUAGGCGUAUUUGGUCCCUGGACUGACCCCUAGCAAGCUAUUUCCUCAUUCAACCCAAGACAUUUCUCCGCAAAAAUGCCAAACAGGAGUUAAGUGGGACAAUUUGAGUUUACAGGGUAAAAUGAGAAUGAACUUGAGUUUCAGGAAGCGUCAGGAUAAAGCUUAUUUCUUAUAAAAAAAUAUAAGGAUUAAGUACCUAGAACUCCUCAAUCUUUUAGUGUCAUUUCAAAGUAGUCCCAACCUUUUUAAAUAUUCCAAACAAGUAACUAGUCUAUUGAAAAUUUCAGAUCUGUUAAGCAUCAGUUAAAUUUAUGUUAAAUUAACUACAACUUACAUUAGGUUCAUUUUCGAUCCAAUUCAAUACCUGUUAAAUCAUUGGGUUCCAUAUGUUUGAAAUUUAGAUUUUGAAGUAAAUAGUAUUAGUGUUGAUCAUGAUAUGCUCUGUUGGUGGGUUUGAAUAUAAACGCAGGAAUGGAGUUUCAAUGGUUGUAGGUUGAGCUUGAAGGUGAUAUUUGGGAAUUUUCGAUUACGUGAAUAAAGGUAAUACGCCUUCUAAAAACAAAGAAAACAACAAGCUAAAUAAUUUACAGUAACGAUGUGAUUCUCGGUUAUUGAAACUGUAAAACAACCGAUGUCGGUAUUUGCUGAUAUCAUUGCUACCAUUCUACGUCACCAGAGAACUUUCAUUGUCAAAACACAGCUGGUAUGGCUUCAUAAUUGAAUUCCCAUAAAAUGCCAAACUUUAUAUGGUCAACAACACUGCCGUGAUGGACGGGCCUAAAGGCUGCAAGUUAUCGUGCAUGAGGGGGUUAGGCUAAGGAAUUAUGAUUUGAAGACUCACACAGCAGUGGAAUAUUCCACAAUAUUAUUACUUAUUAUUCUUCAUUUCUGGAUUACAAAUUUCACAGCUACUCAAUGGCGAAGCCAGGAAUUCUCGGAGGAAGGGGCGAACUUAAAAGAGUGCAAGAUUAAAGAAAAAUGACAAUAAACAAAUCUUUUUAUAUAGUAAUGUCUUCUAUAAUUAAUCAAUACAAAGGAAGAGGACUACCCAAAAUACCCAAAGGAUGACUACUCGGAGGAGGACUGCUCGAAAUAUUUGAAGGUGGAGGAGGACUACCCGGAAUAUUUGAAGGAAGAGGAGGACUAUCCAGAAUAUUUGGAGAAGGAUUUAAACACUGUUUUUUAUAGCAUCGUUCCAUUACGUAAUUGUAUAAUGAAAGAAAAAAAAUAUAUCUUAGACUCUUAAUCCUAGAGUAGACUAUAAAGUAAUAUAUAAUCAAACCAAGAAUUUAAUUAAUCAAUUCCAACAAUCAUAUGAAUAAUCAAGAAUUCAAUUUUUAUUCUAAACAACAACUGGUCAUUAGGGUCUUUUAAGUAAUUGAGUAAGUUGAUUAGGGUUUAUAGUGGUUACGGUAAUCAAUUUUUUGUCAUUUGCAAAGCUGCAUUUUAUUUAGGGUUUUAGUUGGUUGAGUUGGGGUUUAUUAUGUUAAUAUAAAUAUGAUGUAAAUGUCUUCACCAUGUUCAGCUGUUUUUUUUCUUGCUAGACCAUGUGUGUAUUCAAGUUCCUAUAUAUAUAUAUAUAUAUAUAUAUAUAUAUAUAUCCUCUUUUAUGUACUUCAAAAAAAAAAAAUCAAUAAUCAUCAUAGUAUUCAUAUAAAUAAUUUAUAAUCAAUAACCAUAUAAUGUAUUACCCUAUAAUCUUAUAUCAAUUAAACAAAAAUUCAGAUUCACUAAUCUAUUAGGGUUUGAAAUAAAUAUAAAUUUAAACAGUAAUAUAAGUAAAAUCAAGUGUUCAAUAACCUAUGCUACCACACUAGUCAAAGUCGCCUAAUGGGACUUGUACGAUUGAACCUAUUGCUCAUCAAUCUAUGCUAGCACAUGAGUCGAAGUCGCCUAAUGCAACAUGUACGACAGAGUUUGGUGUAAUCAUAAUAUACGCUCUAGUGCUACGAUCACGUGAAGACUGGCGCUAUGCGCGGUCACCUACGAGUCGGAGUCGCCUAAUGCGACCUGUAAGACAUGACUGACACCUACUUGGAUCCAAGGUGAGUGUGCAAUGCGGGAGGUGAACAUACAUGUGAAGCACUUGCUCUGGCCCGAGGCGAGCACUAACACCGAGGGGCAGCAAUGAUGAGCAGACUACAUGAAUAUAAGCAUGCCAUAAUGAUGCAAUAAUUCUAAUCAACAUAAUAACAUUCAUAGCCGUAGAUAUAAUUAUGGCAUCAAAGAUUAUAAGCAUACCUAUGCAUCUCGUAGGAUGUAACACGUUUCAUAAAUUCCGUCAUUUCGCUAAUUUUUAUAAACUUUAGUCUAAUCCAGGCAUAGGUAAGAAAUUCUUUUUCAAAUGCAUAAUUGGAAACUAUCAAUCAUAUAUAUACUAUAAAAAGGAAAAGACCCACUCACCUGAAGUCUGCGUUACAACUCCCUAGCACGAAUAUCGAGAUGUCUCGAACAAUCGGCGCCUAGAACAAUGAUCAAAUCAUGUCUCAGAAUUAUUAUCUAUAGAACACGUAACUUACAUAAAAUGCAUCCAAACAGAAUUCUAGAAUGAUUGCUAACCCAUUGACCAAAAGUGAACCAUCGGUCAAAGGUAGAAGGUAGGGUCCACAACCCUAGGUAACUCGAUCAGGAAGAUCCGCACCCUGAAUUUCCAAUCCGUAACUUCCCAAGAGUUUCAAUAAGCUUCCAAAACAACAUCCUAAAGUUUCGGAACGAUCUAAUGGUUGGAUCUUCGCCAAUCGCUAAAAUAAAGUGGCAGUUGACGUUUUAUUUUACGAACUUACAAAUCCAAUUCGGGAAGAUCCAUACGUAGGAUUCCCGAUCCGUAAGUUUCUAAUAUCUUCAAAUAUUAUGUACUAUAACGUAUUAAAGUUUGGUGAUGAUCCAACGGUCAAAUCGUCGAAUCAUAAAUGGUCAAGUGACGUAGUAUUCCAUACUAGGUUCAAACUAUCAAACUAUAACAAACGGUUAUCAAAUUGACAUAAAAUUUGACUCAAAAAGGCAGCGUCAGCCCACUAGCCAUGCUCUGCCGUACAUGGCGGUCGGCCACCCCGACUCGCCGGAAAAUUCAACUAAUUCUAAAAAUUCUAAAAUUUUACUAGAAUGAAAAUCUCAAUGAGUAGAUCAAGUUUUAUACCUGUGGCCAAGUCCAAUUUGGCCGGAAAAAGCUUCAAAUCUCCACGAACCCGCCGGAAACCCUAGAAAAUGGUGGUUGUCGAUUCGGCUUCUUCGGUGCUCCGCUGCUCCAACCAAGCCUUGAGACUGUUCCUAGGUUCAAGAGAAUUCAACCCAUGGUGGUGGUCGACGGAGUUUGUUUCAGAAAUGGUUGAUCGCUGCCGUGAGACCCUCGGCGCCACUCACUCGGUUCCUCAUGAAACUAGGGCUAUAAGCUGUCGAGUUUGGGUGGGAAUUGAAGAGGGAAGAUCGAUGAGUUAGGUGAUGGUGUUGGAUGGCUUCAACAUGCCGGAAAUCCGACAAAAAAAGCAACGGAAAAGUCAAUAGAAACUUGGUCAAAACCCGGGUCAGGUGAGGGUCCGAGUUGGGUGGUCUCAUCUCUUCUCUCCCUUCCAUCCUUUCCUUAUUUCUGAUUGGUCACUCAUUUUUCUUCCUUUUUCCCGAUUGGAAUAGUUUUCUCGCUAUAUGAGCGUGAAAGUUCAACGAUCAAAAGAUGCCUUCUCGAGCUAAAAGCUUGUCUAUUCUUUUCAUUUGUGCAUCUGGGCUUGUAGUUGCGUUGCAAGCGAUUCUCUCUGUCAGGCAUACCUGAUAGUGUCCCCCAUUUUGUUUCGCUUUUGAGCGAAGUCCUUAUUUCUUUUAUGCAAUUUUAUUUCUUCUAUAACAACAUGAUGUUUUCCCCCUUCUAUGGUUGCUCUCCCUCUCUCCCGCCAUUCUCUUCCAAUUGGGCAGCAGGCAUCUUUUUCCUCUCAUUCUCUUUCCGGUUGGCCAAUACUCCCACUCUUUUCUCUCAACUAAUAAUAAAAUAAUAAUAAUAUGAUAACAAAACAAUUUCAAAAUAAUAAUAUAAUAAUUAUGAGAAAUAUAUAAGAUAAUAAAUAGUAAUCUUUACAAGGGUACUUUUUCGAAUUUGUAGUUCUGUAAAAUUUUAACCGUAACUCUAUAUUCGCUUCCGCUUGCCUACGCGUCCGUAUCGUUGAGUACUUCAAGAAUAUGAUAAAUAAUAGCCCAUACGCUUCACGAAAUGAUGGUCAACUGGAGUCAACGAUCUCGCCUCUAAGGGCAUUUUCGUUAAUUCACUCAUUUAAAAUUUAUAAAAACAUAAAAUUAGGGAUGAGUUAUCACAAAAAAUACGUUUGCGCCUUGAAUUGGGUUGGAAAAAUUUCCAAAAUUUUGGGCGAAAAGAGUGACCCAAAACAAAGUCGUAAUUACCAUUACCAUACCAUGCCAACAUAACUAUUUGGCAUGCCAACAUAACUAUUUGGCAUGCCAAAAUUCGGUAUACCAAAAGUUUGGCACAGUAAAGGUAAUAGGUUUUGUCAUACCAAAAGUUUGGUAUGGUAAUUGGUACAUGGGUUUUGGUACAAUAAUCGUACCAAUACCACCCUUAGUGUUAGUUGAAGGUCGUAACAGUUGCAGUGGCAAAUUUUGUAAUUUUUAUUUUUUUUAAAUGCAUUUAAGUAUCAUAAUACAUGAUGAACUUUUUUUAAAUGUAUUUAAGUAUCGUACCAAUAACAUAAAUAUUGUUGAUAUAUUGUCAAUAUUGUAACUUUUUAUUGAUUUUAUACAAAAUCACCCUUUUAUUUAAGAGUAAAUUGUAGCAAUGGUCCAUGAACUUUAAUCAAAUGGGAGCAAUGGUCCCUCAACUAAAAAUCCAUUACUAUUGGUCUCUCAACUUAUCAAAAUGUGUAGCUAUAGUCUUUUUCAUCAAUUUCUUCAAAAUUUUGUCAAAAUAUGUAAUAACCAUUUAUAUAAUUAAGGUCCCUCAACUCAUCAAAGUGUGUAAUUAUGGUCCUUUUCGUCAACUACGUAAAUUUUUUUGUCAAAAUGAGUUAUGUUGGAAGGACCAUUGCUACAAUUAGGUUGAAGUUAAGAGACCAUUUCUCCAGUUGAAUUAAAGUUGAGAGACCAAAGGUAAUGAAUUUUUAGUUGAGGGACCAUAGCUGCACGUUUUGAUGAGUUGAAGGACCAAUGGUAAUGGAUUUGUAGUUGAAGGACCAUUGCUCCAAUUGAGUUAAAGUUAAGGGACCAUAGCUACAAUUUACUCUUUAUUUAAUUGAAACUAAUUUAUAUCCCACUUGAUGAACUUUUUAUGUUCUGAAAAACUUAAACCAUUCAAUUGAAUUAGAAUGCGUGAGAUAUAUGAAUGUUUAGAGGUUAAAACUCUUGAAAUCUUGAACUUUUUUAUUUGUGUUGAAUAGAUUUAGACCGACCAAACUAAACCGAGUCAAGCUAAUUAACUAUGGUUAGGUUUGGUGUAGUUUUAAUGACGGUAUUGGAGGUACAGAACCAAACUGAACCUUUGAGAACUAAUUGAAUCGGCUUUUUUUUUUCUUAUGUCAAACUGAAUCAUACCAAUCCGUACCACCCCUAAUUUAGGAUGUCAACGAACCAGGGUUAAUAAUUUGGAUCCGUGGAAAUGCCCUGAAUCCAAAUAUGGAUGUUGCUCGUAACUGGGCUUUUGCUAGUUCAAAGAAAUAAAUACAAAUAGAAUCGGAGAGGGUCAUUUUCCGGUUGACGAGAAUUUGUCACUUUACGCCGCCUAGCACCAGGCGCCAAUUGCUAUUUAGAUGAGUGUGGUAGUUGAGUAAUGCUAUACUUACCGCUAGUUGUACAAUUAUUUAUAUCAUUUUUUUAAUAGAGAUAGGAAUCCACCAACGUAUAUAUGUCUCAUCUCUCUAAUAGAGAUAAGGCCCGCCAACACAUGUAGGUCUCAUUUCUAUUAACAAAAUAGUAUAAAUGAUGAUAGAACUACGUGAUAAAAGUAGCAUUUUUGUAGUUAUUAUGAUUUCGUUUAAUUAGUUAGUCUGUUAGACAAAACAUUAACUUUUCUAUAUAACAAAGGGGAUAAAACUUGGGUACUGUCUUGUCAGUACCAGACUGACUUAUUAGAUGGCCCAAUAAUUGUCUAAGGGUGAGUUCGGUAUGGUUACCGUACCAAAAUUCUUGUACCAAUUACCGUACCAAACUUUCGGUUUGGUAAAAUCUAUUACCAUUAUCGUACCAAACUUUUGGUAUAAUGAAGUUCGGUAUUGCCAAAAGUUCGGUUGGCAUGGUAUGGCAAUGGUAAUUGCCUUUGCCAUUUUGUUUUAGGACAAAAUCUGUUUUUGUUUUUUUAACCCAAUUCAAGGGCAAAACUUUUUUUUUGUAUCUUUAUCUCAUACAUUAUAGAUUAAAUUCAUCUAUUAUUCAUCAUUCACAAUUCACAUACAUAAUAAUUCAAAUGAUGCAUCAAGAUUCAUCAUGAAAAUUAAGCUUACAAUCCAAAUAGAAGUUAACAAUCCAAAUAGAAAUUAAAGUUUCAAACCAAAUGAAAAUUGGAAGUAAACUUCAAAAAGGAGAAUUCAUUGAUCAUUUAUUCAAGUUUGGGAUGUCGAAGCUUUUGGAGAAGGCAUUGAACUUGUAGAAGAUUGAAUUUGUGUCAAGCCUACAUUACAAACUAAAAAAACAUAUUAAUUAGUAGCAAGAAGAAUUAAAGUUGAAGACCAUUUAAUAACAAAUUUACUAAAAAAAUUAAAGCAUAUCUUUCUUGUUUUCUCUUCUUCCAUUUCUUUGUAAAAUCGAAGCAUAUCAUCUGUUGGUUCCUUGUAGAAGUUUACUUCAUUUGCCCUUAAGCCAACCACUAGUACGCACUAGUGCCUCCAUUAUUUUAAGAGUCAAAGAUACCCUAAAAGGGUCCACAACCCUCCUCCCUAGGCUAAAUGCAUUUUCACCAGCAAUAGUAGAAGUGGGGGUUACAAAGAUAUUAUGGCUAUUUGUGAAAGAAUUAGGAACUCUUUUGUGUUUGAUUUCUUUCCACAAUUUCAAGAGAUCAAAGUCACACACAACAAUGCUAAUAUAAGUAGGGUUUUAUUUUCAAAUUAUUGGAAUAUUAUAAAUAUGUGUUAUAUAAUUAUCUAUUAUAUAAUUUAUAAAUUAUAAAUUGUAUUACAUUUUCGGUAUGGUACGGUAAUACCGUGGUAAUGGUAUCCAUUACCAAUACCGUACCAUGAAAUUUUGGUACGGUAUAAUACCGUACCAUUACCGAUUGGAACAAAAAUUUUGGCAUAAAAUCGGUAUUGUACCGGUUGGCAAUUCGGUUGGUACAGCAAUUUAGCAAAAAAAUCCACCCCUUGUCCACCACCUGUCUUUAAAACUCACAUCCAAAUUCUUGCUAUCCUGAUAACCAAACACCUAUCUUCUUCCUCCCUUCCCUGUGGCAGCCGCUCCGUCAAUCCCAACCUCUCUCCUCCGUCAUCGUUAUUCCUCUGCAAACCCAACCAAACUAUCGCCCUUUCUCUGCAAAUUCGACAAAACCAGUGCACCAACCAAAACCAAUUCUUACAGGUGCCAUGAAUUCGAUUACUCAACGAUUUCAUAAGAUACAAUUAAUCAUCGGUUCUAAAGCUGAUGAACGACGGUGGCUGUUGGUGGUGGGUGAGGACGGUUGUCGAAGGUGCAAAAGACAACAAAGAUGGCGACUCCCAUCUCCAUAUGGGUCUUAUUUUGUUCAUCUUGAAAAGAAAUCAUUUUUUAUUUAAAUUUGCAAUUAUGAUGAAUGGCAGCCAUGGUGGUGAUUGGAAUGGGCGAAGGAAGAUGAAGGAAAAAGAGUGAAAAAGUUGCAGGGAAGAAGAAACGAGGUGUUUGGUUGUGUGUUUCAAGGUGUAUGGUUGUGUGAAUUAUGGGAAAUCAAUUUCAGGUGACCGAAGCUAAGUAGUCUUAAAUUAGUCCAUAUUAUUUUCGUUAAUUGUUUUUAGCGGGUAUUCGCCUAGACCCCCCCCCCCGGCCCUUUCCCCGUGUUAGUUUUAUUUUUUUUUUUUCUUCAUAUUAUUAAUAAAAUCUUGUAGAGGGGGACGGGUGGGGGGUUUCUGGGUGCAACGGUCCUUUCUCUUUUGGAAGAGGAUUGGUGCCUCGUACGCAACUGUUGACGAAGAGCUAAUCUCACCUAAUCCGUCUCUACAAAAAAAUUUUUUUUUUUUAAAAAGUGUAUGGUUGUGUUUAAGAGAAUUCUUAGAACACAGGUGUCCUCAGUUUAGUGGGCCACAUAAGCAAGUCAGCAGUGGAAUUAUUUUGAUUACGUUAACGUCUCACUGACUUCGUAGUUUUCUCUGUAUCCAAACACUCUCAUCAGUUCGGUUUUUUCAUUCUUUUCAUGGUAUCAGGCACGAUUGUGCCCCGCAGUUGUUGAUUACAAUCUUCAUUGUCUCUAUUUCUCUUCAGGUUCUUCAUUUAUCCGUCUCUAAUUUUGAUUGAGACUGAAAAUUGCAGACAACUACCCCCGUGCCCAUCGGGUUCCCAAUAAAUGUCUCUGCAUGUUGAUUUUCCAAGGAGGAAAGAGGUAAUUGCAUAGCAAACAUAACAUUUUUUUCUUAUGUUUGAAGAAAAACUACAUGCAUGCGGUAAGUACAUAAUCUAAAUUGCAGAGCCGUCUCAAUGCAAACUUAAUCCUAAGACGAAAAUAAAAUGAGGUUUUUCUAAUUUAGUAUGUGGUUUUUUUAUAGGCUAGUUAAAUUAUAAAACUUUUCAAUUCAAUCCACCACCAUCUCCACACCAAAGUAAAUUUAACCAUUUAAGGCACAUUAAAUAAGAUUUAGGAAAAUAGUGGAAGACUUCAUAAUCAACAACAGUCGCAGAGCCACAAAGAUGCAAAAAUUUUGUUAAUUACCUAUUUGAAUCUUAUGCACAAUAAAUAGAACCUUAAGGUUAGUUUCCCAUUUGAUUUCGUUUCCUUGUUGACUCUUAAUCUCGAUAGAUUACAAUGUUGAAAGCAACUCCAUAGGAUAAAGAAGAGGGCACCAAAUUUCGCCUCUACAAUAAGAUCUCCUUAUCAUGAAACAAUUAGUAUAAUCUCACUCCAAAAAUGGAUGUUGAUUGUUGUACCAAAAGAAGGUUCAAUUUUGACAGUAAUAAAAGAACAUACACAGCUGAUGAAAACGAGAGACAGCUAACUAGCUCGUGCAUGAGAGCGUGCGAAGAGGCUAGCAAUACUGUGCUUGUAAAAAGAGAUGGAUAUCGCGGUCAUGCCAUACAUAUGAUGUCAUAAUUCACACACCGGAUGGUUUUAUUUUAUUUAUUUUAAAAGAUAAGUUCAUACUACAUUAUUUUCAGUACCACAACAACAACAACAACAACAAAGCCUUUUUCCCACUAAGUGGGGUCGGCUAUAUGAAUCCUAGAACGUCAUUGCGCUCGGUUUUGUGUCAUGUCCUCCGUUAGAUCCAAGUACUCUAAGUCUUUUCUUAGGGUCUUCCAAAGUUUUCCUAGGUCUUCCUCUACCCCUUCGGCCUUGAACCUCUAUCCCAUAGUCACAUCUUCGAACCGGCGCGUCAGUAGGCCUUCUUUACGCAUGUCCAAACCACCGUAACCGAUUUUCUCUCAUCUUUCUUUCAAUUUCGGCUACUCUUACUUUACCUCGGAUAUCCAUAUUCCUAAUCUUAUCUUUUCUCGUGUGCCCACACAUCCAAUGAAGCAUCCUCAUCUCCGCUACACCCAUUUUGUGUACGUGUUGAUGUUUCACCGCCUUCAGUGGCCUAUGAUGGUCACACAACACGUCGGAUGCACUCUCCCACUUCAUCCAUCCAGCUUGUAUUCUAUGGUUGAGAUCUCUAUCGAAUUCUCCGUUCUUUUGCAAGAUUUGCUAAUCCCCCGUUGUUUCUUUUUCAUGUUUUUUUUUUUUUUUAGUUACUGACUUUGUUUCUAUUUGUGUCUUUUAUUUUUACUUAUGAUAUUUGAUUUAGUUUUGUUUCCUUGAUUUCAAGUACUAGAGAAGUAAGACAUGGAUUUUGCUACCAUUCAAGCUCAAUUGGCGAAACUUACUUCUCAAUUGUCACAAUAUGCCGAAGGGACCACAAUGCAAAGUGUCCCUACAGAUGGUGUGUCCUAUGGGCAAGGAUAUCCAACUCAUCAAUGUUCUCAAUUCGCUACGAAUGAAGAUGCUUGGGGUUAUCAAGGCCAUAGCCAAUCAAGGGACAACAUGUUUUCCAACGCUUACAAUUCGGAUUGGAGAGAUUAUUUAGAUUACAUGUGUGGAGAACCGCAACAAUUCCAACAAGAUGGAUAUUGGCAGCAAGAAGAGGAGUUCUAUCACUGGUCAUAUGAACAAUCUGCCCAAUUCCAUUCGGGUACAUCUUUGGAUAAUGAUAUGUUUAAUAAGUUACUCACCUCUUUGAACCAGGAUGUAGAAAUC
rnacentral:lncRNA from 1 species